GACGAACGCUGGCGGCGUGCCUAAUACAUGCAAGUCGAACGCAGGGGGGACGGGUGAGUAACACGUGGGUAACCUCCCCAUCAGAGGGGAUAACACUUGGAAACAGGUGCUAAACCGAUACUGAUGGAUGAACCCGCGGGUAAUUAGCUAGUUGGGGAGGUAACGGCUCACCAAGGCCACGAUGCAUAGCCGACCGGAGAGGGUGAUCAGCCACACUGGGACUGAGACACUGCCCAGACUCCUACGGGAGGCAGCAGUAGGGAAUCUUCGGCAAUGGACGAAAGUCUGACCUAGCAACGCCGCGUGAGUGAAGAAGGUUUGCGGAUCGUAAAACUCUGUUGUUAGAGAAGCGGUAUCUAACCAGAAAGCCACGGCUAACUACGUGCCAGCAGCCGCGGUAAUUC
rnacentral:rRNA from 1 species